ACAACUUUCAACAACGGAUCUCUUGGCUCUCGCAUCGAUGAAGAACGCAGNGAAAUGCGAUACGUAAUGUGAAUUGCAGAAUUCAGUGAAUCAUCGAAUCUUUGAACGCACCUUGCGCCCCUUGGCAUUCCGAGGGGCACACCCGUUUGAGUGUCGUGAAA
rnacentral:rRNA from 1 species